UACGAAGGGGGCUAGCGUUGCUCGGAAUUACUGGGCGUAAAGGGCGCGUAGGCGGGUCGUUUAGUUAGAGGUGAAAGCCCAGGGCUCAACCCUGGAAUAGCCUUUAAUACUGGCGGCCUUGAGUAUGGCAGAGGUGUGUGGAACUCCGAGUGUAGAGGUGAAAUUCGUAGAUAUUCGGAAGAACACCAAUGGCGAAGGCAGCUCGCUGGGACGGUACUGACGCUGAGACGCGAAAGCGUGGGGAGCAAACAGG
rnacentral:rRNA from 1 species